CGGGGACUCGAUGAGGAGAAAGUGACGCGGAGGCAAAGACCUGGGCGCCGCAGCAGCGAGUGGGGGAGGGGAGGGCGCGUGGUCCGAAUCCCUGCGCGCAAUGAGGCGGCUGCCCGGGCUUUGUGAGGCGGCAGCGCGACGCCGGGUGGCCCAGCAGCGGGCGGGUGCCGGGGGCGGAAGCGCGGCCACAAGAGGGGGCGAUUCACCGCCGCCCCCCGUGGGACCUGGGUCCUCUACGCGGGACCGCAGGGGCCCCGAGUCGCGGGUUGGGCAAGGUCGCCCGCUCCGGGUCGCUCGGAAGGGUCAUUUCACGGACCGGUCGUCUGGGGCCAGUGCGUCUUGCCCCGCACGGAAGACCCCUCGCUUCGAGGACAGGAAAGCUUUUAAAGAACAAAGAUUUCUAACAAGAGAGAGAAUAUCUUCCCGAUUCGACUCCCAUAUGUCAAGAGACUCAGAUGUGACUCAUAUUUGCCUGCCAGGAGGAGGAAAAAGAAAUACACUGUCCAGGAGCAACUCCUUAGUGGGUACCCACCAGAAGUGGUCUCCAAACAAGGCAAGAAUCUGUGUAUUCCUCACACAAUUCAAUCCCAGCCAUUCCAUAUGUACACACUGAGGUUUGCUUUUGGGUAAAUGGAAAUAACUUUAGAGUUUCACCACAAGAAAGCUACAUGGUAAGCAAGUGUUGGAAAAUCUUAACAGUGGGUGACAUUAAGCUAUAGGGUUGCAUUUUCAAGGGAACCAACAUCUUAUGCCGUGGCAAGCAACUCCUGACUGGAUAAACAGCUCUUAGAUGUCAUUGAUAGGCUCAAGCUGAGGCGCAGAGGAAGUAUGGCCCAAGGGCAUAUAGCUGGUAAGUGGUGGCUGGACUGCAAUCCCAAGUAGACAGUAUUAUCUUAGACUGAAACACAAACACUGCAAAGUCCAUUCUCCCUUGGCCACGUUUCACAAAAGAGGAAAUGGGACCUGAAAAUUAGGAGACUUACACAGGAUUGCACAGCUAGCGCAUCAGAGAGCUGACAUUUGGAAGCCCACGUGAUAAGUACGUGUGUAAUCUCAUUUACCGCAGGCAACUCUUAGAUUCUGUUAUUCCCAUUUUAAGAAUGAGGAAACUAGUCUGGGCGUAGUGGCUCUCGUCUGUGCUAUCAGCACUUUGGAAGACCAAGGCAGGAGGACCGCAUGAGCCCAGGAGUUCAAGGCUGGUCUUAAACAUAGUGAGACCCUCUCUCUACAAAAAAUUAAAAACUUAGUCCAUGCAUGGUGUUGGGUGACUGUAGUUUGAGCUAUUUGGGGAGACUGAG
rnacentral:lncRNA from 1 species